UAUCAGUUGAAUCCCUCAUCCAAAGGACAAACUGGUGUAAGUUCAAUGGGCUGACACCAACUUGGCAUGCCUUCCUCGUUAUUAAAAACAUUGAUUGUAGGACUAUCUAACAAUAACGCAGAGAAUCCGGGAGUACAUGUUGCUACUUGAACAUUAUAUAGAGUAGAAUUCAUCAGUUGGUUGCUAAGACCCGUUAUCCGACUUGAAUUUUGUGCUGUAUACGCCCAUGCAUCAAA
rnacentral:lncRNA from 1 species